rnacentral:rRNA from 1 species
CUACGGGAGGCAGCAGUGAGGAAUAUUGCACAAUGGGGGGAACCCUGAUGCAGCAACGCCGCGUGGAGGAUGACGCAUUUCGGUGUGUAAACUCCUUUUAUAUGUCAAGAAAAUGACGGUAGCAUAUGAAUAAGCACCGGCUAACUCCGUGCCAGCAGCCGCGGUAGUACGGAGGGUGCAAGCGUUACUCGGAAUCACUGGGCGUAAAGGACGCGUAGGCGGGUUGGAAAGUCAGGUGUGAAAUCCUACAGCUUAACUGUAGAACUGCACUUGAAACUUCUAAUAUAGAGUAUGGGAGGGGGAGAUGGAAUUAGUGGUGUAGGGGUAAAAUCCGUAGAUAUCACUAGGAAUACCUAAAGCGAAGGCGAUCUCCUGGAACAUUACCGACGCUAAGGCGUGAAAGCGUGGGGAGCAAGCAGGAUUAGAUACCCGUGUAGUC